AACAUCGCGCACCUGCGGGAACCUGCGGAGGGAUCAUUAUCGAGUGUCAACCCCCCCGUAAAAAAGGGGGGUUACCCUCCCGUCCUUUGCUUGGGUACCCUCUUUCCAUUGGAAGGGGGUUGCCUUUCAAGGCCCUUCUGCUUCGGCGGGGUUACCCGCCGGAACAACCUCAAAUUCUUUGUCAAAUGGUUCCGUCCGAGAAAACUUUUGAAAAAGCGAAAAACUUUUAGCAAUGGAUCU
rnacentral:misc_RNA from 1 species